CCCUUCGGGGCUUUCUGCAAGGUGCUGCAUGGUUGUCGUCAGCUCGUGCCGUGAGGUGUCGGGUUAAGUCCCAUAACGAGCGCAACCCUUAUCGUUAGUUGCCAUCUGGUAAAGCAGGGGACUCUAGCGAAACUGCCACCGUAAGGUGCGAGGAAGGUGGGGAUGACGUCAAAUCAGCACGGCCCUUAUGUCCAGGGCUACACACGUGUUACAAUGGCCGGUACAGAGGGCAGCUACCUGGUGACAGGAUGCUAAUCUCGAAAACCGGUCUCAGUUCGGAUCGAAGUCUGCAACUCGACUUCGUGAAGCUGGAUUCGCUAGUAAUCGCGCAUCAGCCAUGGCGCGGUGAAUACGUUCCCGGGCCUU
rnacentral:rRNA from 1 species